rnacentral:lncRNA from 1 species
AUUGGUGAGCUAGGGUAGGUGCAUGUAUGCAUGUUUAGAGGGUGAAGCUUGAGGUUUCGGGUGACAUCAAAAACUACAAAUGCCACUUUAUAUUUGUGCAUUCGUGCAGUUUAAUCAUAGAAAAUGGAAUUAACACGUUUACCAAACGUAAUAAAAAGACCAAGAAAACAAACGUAUUCACUUUUUAGUAAAAUGUGAAGUUUAUAAAAUUGAGUUUGUUGUGUGUAAAGAGGAGGGGGACUCUUUUUGACCCAAUCUAGACUAAUGUCUACGGGACCAUCAUCCCCUUUGC